AUACGGAGGAUCCGAGCGUUAUCCGGAUUUAUUGGGUUUAAAGGGUGCGCAGGCGGCCAUUUAAGUCAGCGGUUAAAUCGUGGGGCUCAACCCCAUUCUGCCGUUGAUACUGGGUGGCUUGAUUGCGGUCGAGGUUGGCGGAAUUCGUUGUGUAGCGGUGAAAUGCAUAGAUAUGACGAAGAACACCGAUUGCGUAGGCAGCUGACCAGAUCGCAAAUGACGCUCAUGCACGAAAGUGCGGGGAUCGAACAGGAUUAGAUACCCUGGUAGUCCGCACAGUAAACGAUGAAUACUUGUUUUCGGCGAUAUAAUGUCGGAGGCAUAGCGAAAGCGAUAAGUAUUCCACCUGGGGAGUACGCCGGCAACGGUGAAACUUAAAGGAAUUGACGGGG
rnacentral:rRNA from 1 species